rfam:Homo sapiens chromosome 14, GRCh38 reference primary assembly.
AGCUUUGUGCAGUGGUAGUAUCAUAGCCAGUGAGGUUUAUCUGAGGCAUGAUUAUCGACAAUUGAAACAAAAUGUCCUCUUUUGCAAGUAAAAACUCCAGGCACCAAAGUGUUUGCUCGCUCUGCCAUGUG